AUGCAGCCCCCCAAAUGGAAGGCCGUGGAGGGCGGCGGGAUCGGCGGCGACCAGCGCCGCCGGUGCGUGGCGGCGUCGCUGUCCAUGCUGAUCGCGGCCACGCUGGCCUUCCUCGCAUACGUCGCCUUCUUCCCGGACGACGGCGCCGGCGGGGUGUACCGCUGGUGGAGCUGCCAGGGUUGCGGGGGCUCCCUGGGCGAGUUCCCGGCCGACGAGGACGCCGCGGCUGACGGGCCCGCCGCCGCCGGCGGCGGCGGCCGCGCUCCCACCACGCUGUCGCACAUCGUGUUCGGCAUCGGCGCGUCGGCGCGCACGUGGGACCAGCGCCGCGGCUACGCGGAGCUCUGGUGGCGGCCCGAGGCGAUGCGCGGCCACGUCUGGCUGGACGAGCAGCCCGCGGGCGCGUGGCCGGCGGCGACGUGCCCGCCGUACCGCAUCUCGGCGGACGCGUCACGGUUCGGGAACCGGGCGUCGGCCUCGCGGAUGGCGAGGAUCGUCGCGGACUCGUUCCUGGCCGUCUCGACGGAGCUGGCGAACGGCACCGGCGCGGACGAGGCGCCGCGGUGGUUCGUGAUGGGCGACGACGACACGGUGUUCUUCCCGGACAACCUGGUGGCCGUGCUGCGCAAGUACGACCACGAGGAGAUGUACUACGUGGGGGCGCCGUCGGAGAGCGUGGAGCAGAACGUGAUGCACUCGUACGGCAUGGCGUUCGGCGGGGGCGGGUUCGCGGUGAGCUACCCGGCCGCCGCGGAGCUCGCCAAGGCCAUCGACGGCUGCCUGGACCGCUACUCGCAGUUCUACGGCAGCGAUCAGCGCGUGCAGGCCUGCCUCAGCGAGCUCGGCGUCCCGCUCACCCGCGAGCCCGGGUUCCACCAGGUGGACAUCCGGGGCGACGCGUACGGCAUGCUGGCGGCCCACCCGGUGGCGCCGCUGGUCUCGCUCCACCACCUGGACCACAUCGAGCCCAUCAGCCCCGUCGGCCACACCCCGCUGGCCGCGGUCCGGCCGCUGGUGAGGGCGGCCCGGUUCGACUCGGCCCGCCUGCUGCAGCAGGCCUUCGGCUACCAGCACGGCCCGGGCUACACCUGGUCCGUCUCCAUCGCGUGGGGCUACACGGUGCAGCUCUACCCGUGGGCCGUGGCGCCGCACGAGCUGGAGGUGCCGCUGCAGACGUUCAAGACCUGGCGGAGCUGGGCCAACGGGCCCUUCGUGUUCAACACCCGGCCCCUGAUGAGCACCGACACCCCGUGCUACCGGCCGGCCAUGUUCUUCCUCAGCCGGGUCCGGAACGAGACCAGCCGGGGCACAGUGAGCGAGUACUCGAGGCACGCCGCCAAGUCGGAGAAAGAGUGCGACCAGGCCAGCUUCCGCGCCGCGUCCACGGUUCACACCGUCAAGGUGUUCGCUCCCAAGAUGAACCAGAACGAGUGGAAACGGGCGCCACGGCGGCAUUGCUGCAAAACAACGAGGACGAGGUGGGGCACGGUGCUGGAGGUGCGGAUACGGUAUUGCAGCCGAGGAGAGCUCACCACGCCGUAA
rnacentral:rRNA from 1 species